UACGGAGGGUGCAAACGUUAUCCGGAAUCACUGGGCGUAAAGCGCAUGUAGGUGGCUUAGUAAGUGGGCGAUUAAAGACCGCUGCUCAACAGCGGGACUGUUGCCCAUACUGCUUGGCUAGAGAAUGACAGGGGCAAGUGGAACUUUAGGUGUAGGGGUGAAAUCCGUAGAUAUCUAAAGGAACACCAAUGGCGAAGGCAACUUGCUGGGUCUUUUCUGACACUGAGAUGCGAAAGCGUGGGGAGCGAACGGG
rnacentral:rRNA from 1 species